UUUCUCUCUCUCUCUCUCUCUCUCUCUCUCUGUGUGUGUGUGUGUGAGAGAGAGAGAGAGAGAGAGAGAGAGAGAGAGAAA
rnacentral:miRNA from 1 species